CCUCGUUCGUUCCUUUCCCUUUCCAUUCCACCAUGGCAUUUUUCAUUAAUAUAGCUGCUUAAUAACUACCUAUAUCAUAAGAGUGUUGGGUGGGUGGGC